AUAUAUAUCGUUAUAAAUUUCAGUUUUUAUUUAUAGGAAAAAGAAUUGGGACGCACUCCCAUUGAACCAGAGGUUUUCAAAAAGACUCAUGUCAGGAAGAAAGAAAAUGAGUCGGAUCCGGAUGUGUGGGUGGAGGAAAGGGCCGAACGAACUUUUAAUGACUUUCAUAAGUUCGUCGAUGAGAAUCUAGAUAGUUUGGUUCAAUUGACACCUGAACUGUCCACUCAGAUUUAGAAAGAAAAAGUGAUAGGGGGGACACACAAGGGUAGAUGCUAUGGUCUAGGCUCUCGCAAUGAUGUUAGACGCCUUCAGUCAGGCUUAGAAGGUAUUGGGUCGUCACGUCAAGGUGAGGCACUUGACGGUGUUCAGAUUGCUGCUAUGUCGGAUCAAAUAGCUAAACUUACAGAGGCACUAGCAGAGUCGGAGCGGAAAAGAGUAGCUGAACAACAAAGCAUGAGUGAGAC